AGAGUUUGAUCAUGGCUCAGAACGAACGCUGGCGGCAGGCUUAACACAUGCAAGUCGAACGAUGUAGCAAUACAUAGUGGCGCACGGGUGAGUAACGCGUGGGGAUAUACCUUAUAGUGGGGAAUAACUUUGGGAAACUAAAGCUAAUACCGCAUACGCCCGAGAGGGGAAAGAUUUAUCGCUAUAAGAUUAGCCCGCGUGAGAUUAGGUAGUUGGUGGGGUAAUGGCCUACCAAGCCUACGAUCUCUAGCUGGUCUGAGAGGAUGAUCAGCCACACUGGAACUGAGACACGGUCCAGACUCCUACGGGAGGCAGCAGUGGGGAAUAUUGGGCAAUGGAGGAAACUCUGACCCAGCCAUGCCGCGUGAAUGAUGAAGGCCUUAGGGUUGUAAAGUUCUUUCGCCGAUGAAGAUAAUGACGGUAGUCGGAGAAGAAGCCCCGGCUAACUUCGUGCCAGCAGCCGCGGUAAUACGAAGGGGGCUAGCGUUGUUCGGAAUUACUGGGCGUAAAGCGAGCGUAGGUUGCUCGAUAAGUCAGUGGUGAAAGCCCAGAGCUCAACUCUGGAACUGCCAUUGAAACUGUCGAGCUGGAAUCUCAGAGGGGGUAGCGGAAUUCCAAAUGUAGGGGUGAAAUCCGUAGAUAUUUGGAGGAACACCGGUGGCGAAGGCGGCUACCUGGAUGAGUAUUGACACUGAGGCUCGAAAGCGUGGGGAUCAAACAGGAUUAGAUACCCUGGUAGUCC
rnacentral:rRNA from 1 species